rnacentral:lncRNA from 1 species
ACAAGCCAAGGGAUGCCUGAUAGCUACAGAUGGUCUGAGAGCAGCUUUACACCUUGUACAGCAGCACUGGGUCCUGAUGCCAUACUGACAGACAUUCCACUGUCUCUGACUGCAGUAUCAUGGGCUGAAUUCCCAACAUAAUUUACAGCAGCAUCAGAGACAUUCAUGGAAUAGUUUGAUCCAGCAGACACCAAUUAUAUCAGGCAUCUGAGCACCUUGUGAGAUCUUGAUGGAGUCAUGGAGAAAGUGCAGUGGAAUUUGCUUUAUUCUUUUUAUUAUUCUGUCCAUACUGGAGGAAAUGGAUAUUCACCCUAUUCACCUCCUGAGUGGAGAGCAGAAAAGAAAGAGACUGUCAGCUGCACCCUUCAGCAAACCUGUGGAUGUGGGAGUUCCACAUCAACUCAGUCAUUAGGUAAG